rnacentral:rRNA from 1 species
AGACGAGGAGCUUGCUCCUCUGACGUUAGCGGCGGACGGGUGAGUAACACGUGGAUAACCUACCUAUAAGACUGGGAUAACUUCGGGAAACCGGAGCUAAUACCGGAUAAUAUAUUGAACCGCAUGGUUCAAUAGUGAAAGACGGUUUUGCUGUCACUUAUAGAUGGAUCCGCGCCGCAUUAGCUAGUUGGUAAGGUAACGGCUUACCAAGGCAACGAUGCGUAGCCGACCUGAGAGGGUGAUCGGCCACACUGGAACUGAGACACGGUCCAGACUCCUACGGGAGGCAGCAGUAGGGAAUCUUCCGCAAUGGGCGAAAGCCUGACGGAGCAACGCCGCGUGAGUGAUGAAGGUCUUCGGAUCGUAAAACUCUGUUAUUAGGGAAGAACAAAUGUGUAAGUAACUAUGCACGUCUUGACGGUACCUAAUCAGAAAGCCACGGCUAACUACGUGCCAGCAGCCGCGGUAAUACGUAGGUGGCAAGCGUUAUCCGGAAUUAUUGGGCGUAAAGCGCGCGUAGGCGGUUUUUUAAGUCUGAUGUGAAAGCCCACGGCUCAACCGUGGAGGGUCAUUGGAAACUGGAAAACUUGAGUGCAGAAGAGGAAAGUGGAAUUCCAUGUGGUA